rnacentral:rRNA from 1 species
AUUGAACGCUGGCGGCAUGCUUUACACAUGCAAGUCGAACGGUAACAGGCCUUCGGGUGCUGACGAGUGGCGAACGGGAGAGUAAUGCAUCGGAACGUACCCAGAGGUGGGGGAUAACGCAGCGAAAGCUGUGCUAAUACCGCAUGUGAUCUGAGGAUGAAAGCGGGGGACCGAGCAGCAAUGUUUGGCCUCGCGCCUUUGGAGCGGCCGAUGUCGGAUUAGCUAGUUGGUGGGGUAAAGGCCUACCAAGGCGACGAUCCGUAGCUGGUCUGAGAGGACGACCAGCCACACUGGGACUGAGACACGGCCCAGACGCCUACGGGAGGCAGCAGUGGGGAAUGUUGGACAAUGGGCGCAAGCCUGAUCCAGCAAUGCCGCGUGCGGGAAGAAGGCCUUCGGGUUGUAAAGCGCUUUUGGCAGGAACGAAACGGUGUCCGCUAAUACCGGGCGCUAAUGACGGUACCUGCAGAAUAAGCACCGGCUAACUACGUG